rnacentral:rRNA from 1 species
CGAGGCCACGGGACGCAGCAGUGAGGAAUAUUGGUCAAUGGUCGGGAGACUGAACCAGCCAAGCCGCGUGAGGGAUGAAGGUACAGAGUAUCGUAAACCUCUUUUGUCAGGGAACAAAGGCGGGGACGCGUCCCCGGAUGAGUGUACCUGAAGAAAAAGCAUCGGCUAACUCCGUGCCAGCAGCCGCGGUAAUACGGAGGAUGCGAGCGUUAUCCGGAUUUAUUGGGUUUAAAGGGUGCGUAGGCGGAGUGUCAAGUCAGCGGUAAAAUUUCGG